rnacentral:lncRNA from 1 species
CGGCGACCCCAAGAAGGGCGGCCGCGGCGGCAAGUUCACCUGGGAGGGCGCCGACGGCUACGCCGACGAGGACCUCGACCUCAUCUCCAACAAGAACAACGGCGGCCGCGCCGGCAAGGGGGGCGCCACCGCCAACGCCGCCAAGAAGGACGACGGCGACGACGAGUAGGCCUCGGCCUCCGCCCGCCCGCCCGGUCCGAUCGGUUGCCAGCAACUCAAGCAAGUUCUCCUAUUGUAAUUCCUCAGUCGCUGUUCGGUUCUCGAGUCGAAUAAUCAUGUGGGUCUAGGCGUCGUGUUCGCGAGUUUGUAGCCUGCUACUAGCGGAGAGCCAGUGGGCGAUCGACGGGCCGUGCAGGGUCUGUAGAUAUCAUCAUCUCACCUCCUCUGUCCUUGACUUGCUGAUGUUUGGGGUCUGAAUUCUCAGUUCUUGGAAGGACUUAUAUUAAUUUCCAGAGUCGUUGGCUGAAUCGUGUUGUCUGCUGCUGUUCUUUGCUCUGAAUCACUUCAGCACCCACUCUGGACUUUACUUUUGCGUUUGUUCAUGAUCGCCAGGUGCAACGUCUUUUACGGUUUCAGUCUUUCAGAUGAGCAGAUCCGUAACUGAAGCAGACAGCAAGGAAGGAAGGGGAAUGAUUGCAAUGUUAACCUUUUUUUAUUUUCGGGUGAGGGAUUGCAAUGUUUAUCUUGAAUUGGAUAACGAUGACUCUGCAAUUUUUCCAAACGAUCUGUUUUCAUGACAA